UCAGGGAAUUGAGCGAACCAAAUCCUUGGUCGAACAGUAUAAGAAGCUGGAGGUUGAUGAUGAUGACGUUGCGGCUGAAUUGAACAUCACUUCCUCCCGACAGAACGAGGAUUGGGAAAAAUUUAGGGAACGAAUUCGUUCCUUAUGGGGUAGUUUGUAAUUAAGACACACGAUGUCUUUUCUUUUUUGUACUUUUGUCCCUUAUUAAUGAACAUUAAUUUCUUGUGCAUUUAUUUGAUGUUUAUUUUCUAAUCAUCAAUUCUUCAAGCAUUUAACUGCUUUGCGUUAAGAAUUUUGUCCAUUCCCUUUUGAUAUUCCCAUUACUGUUCCCGAUACUUAGGGCCAUUUAAUUCCGUCUAUUAGACAGAAAUGUGACUGUUCAUAUUCUGUCUCUUCAUCUUCACCCCCUUAUAAAUGUUUAGCAUUUUUCAUCCUCUAUCUUCAUCUCCUCAUUUUCUUAUUCGAAACCAAUUUGCUGCCAUUUCUUGGCAUUCUGACGAUCAAUCUGAUCCGAAAAUGGUCUGUUUAGUCCGUCCGCCUUAUAUUUACUUUGAUGCCACCUUUGGUAUGGGAGGUAUAGGAAAUGUUUUCUGGCCCGCAGCGAAGUUUUUUCCUGCAAAAUUCUUCCCAUCGUCUCUUUGUUCUUCAUAAGGAGUCAAUGAUGGAAGGCAAUUUUUGGGCUGCUCAUGGGCCAUUUUGCUUGCUGAGAGUGCUUCUCAACUUGCUUGCUGAGAGUGUUUCUCAGCCUAUUUGCUCGCUAUUGCAGCGAUGCAUUUAGGAAGGUGGUGAGGCCAGUACACCCUCUCACUCGUCAAUUCCACCACUGCAGCGAUGCAUUUAGGAAGGCAGUGUGAAGCUUACUCAGUGAUUGGCUGGGAGAUCAUCUUACUUUAGUUGUAUUUUGUAACACGCCUAUUACCUGUAUCUUUUAUAUUCUUGUAAUGAACGUUUGGUAAUAAAGAACUUUAUUU
rnacentral:lncRNA from 1 species